UAGAAGCACAGCGAGGUCAGGGCCAUUGCUUACCCCGUGUUUUGUCACUGCCUUGUAGAGAGACAGGUGGGUCUGUGUCUUUACCCUGAGGAUCCUCAUAGCCUCUGUUCAGAAAGAGCCCUGCCCCUCUGAUCACUGCUGCCCACUCAGUGGCUCCGUAGCUGCCCCAAAUUUUCAGCAGCCAGCAGAUCAUGGUGUCACUCUUAUGUCCUUUUUACUGCAUUUACAUAAAAAGAAGAGGCUGAGAAAUGGAGGAACUUUGGGGGGAAAAAAAGGUCAUGAGAGUGGAGCCCUCAGGAUGGGAUCGGUACACUUCCAGGAAGAGACGGAAGAGAGCUUGUUUCCUCUUUGUCCCACUCCGCCAUGUCAGGAUACACAAGAAGAUGGUUAUCUGAAAACCAGGAAGAGUCCUCACCAAGAACUGAAUCAGCCAGCACCUUGAUAUUGGACUUCCCAGACUCCAGAACUAUGAG
rnacentral:lncRNA from 1 species